AUGCUUUUUUUAUGGUUGAUCAAUAUAAGGGGCAUCUGUAACUCUAGUCUCCAGCUGAGGCUUCUGAUCGGGCUGUCAUGUCUGGAUUAUUGGCAGCAAACUCGUGCACGAGCGUGUAGUUUGAUUUCAGAUCAAGAUCAAGAGAUCGGCGGGUGCGGGGAAACGGCGAGAAAUGAAGAGCUGGCUGCUGAUUGCUUGCUGGUGGAAGGAACAGUUGACUUAGCCUUGAAGGUUCUGGGGCCAUGCUUAUCUGAACCAAGUGCAGUUCCUGGUGGUGGAUGCCAGUCUUCAACUCUGAGAAACUUUCUUCAUUGCAUUGCAGAGGACAAGGAGCAGGGGAGGUGGCCCGAGUUCUCCCCCCACUUGCUUUGCCUGCUGAAUGUGGCAGAGGCUAACUUGGCCUCCAGGGAUGGCGAAGAGUAG
rnacentral:rRNA from 1 species